rnacentral:rRNA from 1 species
GGCCACUGCUAUGGGGGUCCGACUAAGCCAUGCGAGUCAUGGGGCGCCCUGCGCGCACCGGCGGACGGCUCAGUAACACGUCGGUAACCUACCCUCGGGAGGGGGAUAACCCCGGGAAACUGGGGCUAAUCCCCCAUAGGCCUGAGGUACUGGAAGGUCCUCAGGCCGAAAGGGGCUUUGCCCGCCCGAGGAUGGGCCGGCGGCCGAUUAGGUAGUUGGUGGGGUAACGGCCCACCAAGCCGAAGAUCGGUACGGGCCAUGAGAGUGGGAGCCCGGAGAUGGACACUGAGACACGGGUCCAGGCCCUACGGGGCGCAGCAGGCGCGAAACCUCCGCAAUGCUCGAAAGAGCGACGGGGGGACCCCCAGUGCCGUGGCAUCGCCACGGCUUUUCCGGAGUGUAAAGAGCUCCGGGAAUAAGGGCUGGGCAAGGCCGGUGGCAGCCGCCGCGGUAAUACCGGCGGCCCGAGUGGUGGCCGCUAUUAUUGGGCCUAAAGCGUCCGUAGCCGGGCCUGUAAGUCCCUGGCGAAAUCCCACGGCUCAACCGUGGGGCUUGCUGGGGAUACUGCAGGCCUUGGGACCGGGAGAGGCGGAGGGUACUCCUGGGGUAGGGGUGAAAUCCUAUAAUCCCAGGAGGACCGCCAGUGGCGAAGGCGCUCCGCUGGAACGGGUCCGACGGUGAGGGACGAAGGCCAGGGGAGCAAACCGGAUUAGAUACCCGGGUAGUCCUGGCUGUAAAGGAUGCGGGCUAGGUGUCGGGUGAGCUUCGUGCUCGCCCGGUGCCGAAGGGAAGCCGUUAAGCCCGCCGCCUGGGGAGUACGGCCGCAAGGCUGAAACUUAAAGGAAUUGGCGGGGGAGCACUACAAGGGGUGGAGCGUGCGGUUU